rnacentral:lncRNA from 10 species
AUUGAGCAUAGGGAGUGUUGUAAUGGUAGUUAGGUUCUACUUACACACAGCACCAAGAGUCUGUCUGCACAAUACACUGGCUGAGAUCUAAAAAGAUCAAAAUCAGAAAUGGGGAUGGGAUGGAGAUUUAGGCCAGAAUGAAAGCAAAUACUUGUGCUGAUCCAGGAUACAAGAGUAGGAGUGUUGUCAGAAUUAGUGACUAAGUUUAAGGGUCCCAACAUGAAAUAAGAGCUGCCAAGCAGAGGUAAUGUGAGGCUAUGAAUGACGAGUUCAGAGGAUUUUCUGAAUUCUGGAAAAAUAAGGUCUUAAUCCCAAGGAUCAUGAAUAUUCCUCUGAGAAAUGCUACUGUCAGAUUUCAAGAUACUGUUGAGCUUCUAACAAAGUACUCCUAACCACUACUGGAGAAUGUGUCUAAAUGAGAAAAAUGCAUCCCAAGCUCCAGCUGGCAGUACCAAAUCAGAAGCUGCAAACUAUCACAACUGGCACAUGGGAUGGAACAUGGAAGGACUUUGGAAAUAUUUGGGUCAAAUUUCCUCAUAUUAAACAAGACAAAACAGGGAAAAAUUAUGAGGGAGCAGGAACUGAAAAGAAACAGAGACCAGGAAUAAAUUAUCGAACACAGAGAAGACGGAAAAAAUGAGCCAACUGGAAGAGAGAAACAGACACAUCAAGAGGAGCUUGGC